GCUGUAGACCCAGGAGUCUCCAUUCAGUGGGGCCCAUGCUGCUCCCUGGAACUGGCAUCUACAUGGUCGGGGUGGUGGCUCCUCUCCAAGUCUUAUGGUUAA